rnacentral:rRNA from 1 species
AGGAGUUUGAUCCUGGCUCAGGAGAACGCUGGCGGCGCGCCUAACACAUGCAAGUCGAACGGAGAGUGAAGAGCUUGCUUUUCACUUUUAGUGGCGGACGGGUGAGUAACACGUGAGCAAUCUGCCUCUGUGAGGGGGAUAACGUCUGGAAACGGAACGCUAAUACCGCAUAACAUAUAGUGGCCGCAUGGCCGGUAUAUCAAAGAUUUAUCGCACAGAGAUGAGCUCGCGGCUGAUUAGCUAGUUGGCGGGGUAACGGCCCACCAAGGCGACGAUCAGUAGCCGGACUGAGAGGUUGAACGGCCACAUUGGGACUGAGACACGGCCCAGACUCCUACGGGAGGCAGCAGUGGGGGAUAUUGCACAAUGGGGGAAACCCUGAUGCAGCGACGCCGCGUGAGGGAAGACGGCCUUCGGGUUGUAAACCUCUGUCGCAGGGGACGAAGGAAGUGACGGUACCCUGUGAGGAAGCCACGGCUAACUACGUG